rnacentral:rRNA from 1 species
GUAGUUAGCCGGGGCUUCCUCCUUAGGUACCGUCAUUUUUUCGUCCCUAAGGACAGAGGUUUACAAUCCGAAGACCUUCAUCCCUCACGCGGCGUUGCUGGGUCAGGCUUUCGCCCAUUGCCCAAUAUUCCCCACUGCUGCCUCCCGUAGGAGUCUGGACCGUAUCUCAGUUCCAGUGUGGCCGAUCACCCUCUCAGGUCGGCUACCCAUCGUUGCCUUGGUGAGCCGUUACCUCACCAACUAGCUAAUGGGACGCGAGCCCAUCCAUAAGCGAUAAAUCUUUGACCUCUUCGCCAUGUGACGUUGUGGUCUUAUGCGGUAUUAGCAGCCGUUUCCAGCUGUUGUCCCCCUCUUAUGGGUAGGUUGCUCACGCGUUACUCACCCGUCCGCCACUAAACGCUCCCGAGUAAACUCAGUUGCGUUCCGUUCGACUUGCAUGUGUUAGCACGCCGCCACGCGUUCGUCUGAGCGACGAUACAACUACUGA